UACAGAGGGUGCAAGCGUUGUCCGGAAUCACUGGGCGUAAAGGGCGCGUAGGCGGCCCGAUAAGUAGGGGGUGAAAUCUUGCGGCUCAACCGCAAGGCUGCCUUCUAGACUGUCGGGCUUGAGCACAGUAGAGGCAGGUGGAAUUCCCGGUGUAGCGGUGGAAUGCGUAGAGAUCCGGAAGAACACCGGUGGCGAAGGCGGUCUGCUGGGCAGUUGCUGACACUGAGGCGCGACAGCGUGGGGAGCAAACAGG
rnacentral:rRNA from 1 species